GAUGAACGCUGGCGGCGUGCCUAAUACAUGCAAGUCGAGCGAACAGACGAGGAGCUUGCUCCUCUGACGUUAGCGGCGGACGGGUGAGUAACACGUGGAUAACCUCCCUAUCAGACUGGGAUCACUUCGGGAAUCCGGAGCUAAUACCGGAUAAUAUCUUGAACCGCAUGGUUCAAUAGUGAAAGACGGUUUUGCUGUCACUUAUAGAUGGAUCCGCGCCGCAUUAGCUAGUUGGUAAGGUAACGGCUUACCAAGGCAACGAUGCGUAGCCGACCUGAGAGGGUGAUCGGCCACACUGGAACUGAGACACGGUCCAGACUCCUACGGGAGGCAGCAGUAGGGAAUCUUCCGCAAUGGGCGAAAGCUUGACGGAGCAACGCCGCGUGAGUGAUGAAGGUCUUCGGAUCGUAAAACUCUGUUAUUAGGGAAGAACAAAUGUGUAAGUAACUAUGCACGUAUUGACGGUACCUAAUCAGAAAGCAACGGCUAACUACGUG
rnacentral:rRNA from 1 species